rnacentral:rRNA from 1 species
GGAUUAGAUACCCUGGUAGUCCACACCGUAAACGAUGUCUACUAGCUGUGUGUGUAUUUAAUACGUGCGUAGCGCAGCCAACGCGAUAAGUAGACCGCCUGGGGAGUACGGCCGCAAGGUUAAAACUCAAAUGAAUUGACGGGGGCCCGCACAAGCGGUGGAGCAUGUGGUUUAAUUCGAUGCAACGCGAAGAACCUUACCUACACUUGACAUUCAAAGAAUUCGAAAGAGAUUUCGAAGUGCCUUCGGGAACUUUGGGACAGGUGCUGCAUGGCUGUCGUCAGCUCGUGUCG